rnacentral:rRNA from 1 species
AGAGUUUGAUCCUGGCUCAGAGUGAACGCUGGCGGCGUGCCUAAUACAUGCAAGUCGAACGGACAAGUAAGAGCUUGCUCUUAUGAGUUAGUGGCGCACGGGUGAGUAAUGUAUAGUUAAUCUGCCCUACACUGGAGGACAACAGUUAGAAAUGACUGCUAAUACUCCAUACUCCUUCUUAGCACAAGUUAAGUCGGGAAAGUUUUUUCGGUGUAGGAUGAGACUAUAUUGUAUCAGCUAGUUGGUAAGGUAAUGGCUUACCAAGGCUAUGACGCAUAACUGGUCUGAGAGGAUGAUCAGUCACACUGGAACUGAGACACGGUCCAGACUCCUACGGGAGGCAGCAGUAGGGAAUAUUGCUCAAUGGGGGAAACCCUGAAGCAGCAACGCCGCGUGGAGGAUGACACUUUUCGGAGCGUAAACUCCUUUUGUUAGGGAAGAAUAAUGACGGUACCUAACGAAUAAGCACCGGCUAACUCCGUGCCAGCAGCCGCGGUAAUACGGAGGGUGCAAGCGUUACUCGGAAUCACUGGGCGUAAAGGACGCGUAGGCGGAUUAUCAAGUCUUUUGUGAAAUCUAAUGGCUUAACCAUUAAACUGCUUGAGAAACUGAUAAUCUAGAGUGAGGGAGAGGCAGAUGGAACUGGUGGUGUAGGGGUAAAAUCCGUAGAGAUCACCAAGAAUACCCAUUGCGAAGGCGAUCUGCUAGAACUCAACUGACGCUAAUGCGUGAAAGCGUGGGGAGCAAACAGGAUUAGAUACCCUGGUAGUCCACGCCCUAAACGAUGCAUACUCGUUGUUGCUCUGCUAGUCAGGGCAGUAAUUCAGCUAACGCAUUAAGUAUGCCGCCUGGGGAGUACGGUCGCAAGAUUAAAACUCAAAGGAAUAGACGGGGACCCGCACAAGCGGUGGAGCAUGUGGUUUAAUUCGAGGAUACGCGAAGAACCUUACCUGGGCUUGAUAUCCUAAGAACCUCUUAGAGAUAAGAGGGUGCUAGCUUGCUAGAACUUAGAGACAGGUGCUGCACGGCUGUCGUCAGCUCGUGUCGUGAGAUGUUCGGUUAAGUCCGGCAACGAGCGCAACCCACGUAUUUAGUUGCUAACAGUUUGGCUGAGCACUCUAAAUAUACUGCCUUCGUAAGGAGGAGGAAGGUGUGGACGACGUCAAGUCAUCAUGGCCCUUAUGCCCAGGGCGACACACGUGCUACAAUGGCAUAUACAAUGAGACGCAAUAUCGCGAGAUGGAGCAAAUCUAUAAAAUAUGUCCCAGUUCGGAUUGUUCUCUGCAACUCGAGAGCAUGAAGCCGGAAUCGCUAGUAAUCGUAGAUCAGCCAUGCUACGGUGAAUACGUUCCCGGGUCUUGUACUCACCGCCCGUCACACCAUGGGAGUUGAUUUCACUCGAAGCCCAAAUACCAAACUGGUUAUGGUCCACAGUGGAAUCAGCGACUGGGGUGAAGUCGUAACAAGGUAACCGUAGGAGAACCUGCGGUUGGAUCACCU